GACGAACGCUGGCGGCGUGCUUAACACAUGCAAGUCGAACGACGUGGCGAACGGGUGAGUAACGCGUAAUCAACCUGCCCUUCAGAGGGGGACAACAGUUGGAAACGACUGCUAAUACCGCAUACUGAAGGUGGGGAUUGCGUCUGAUUAGCUCGUUGGAGGGGUAACGGCCCACCAAGGCGAUGAUCAGUAGCCGGUCUGAGAGGAUGAACGGCCACAUUGGGAAUGAGGCAAGGCCCAGACUCCUACGGGGGGGAGCAGUGGGGAAUCUUUCGCAAUGGAGGAAAGUCUGGCGGAGCAACGCCGCGGGAGUGAUGACGGGCUUCGGGUUGUAAAGCUCUGUUAAUCGGGACGCGGUACCGGAAGAGAAAGCCACGGCUAACUACGUGCCAGCAGCCGCGGUAAUUC
rnacentral:rRNA from 1 species